AUAUAUUCUAGAGCAAACUCAAUACACUAUACUGGCACAAUCAAACCGAUUAAGCGUCUCAAGAAACAAGAAAAUGGAUGAUCGGUAAUAAUUAAAUAUCCUGUGCUACAGGGAAAAAAUCUCCACCAUUCUGACAAAACACACAAUGCUUCCAACCCAAACAGGCACAAUAUUGAUGCGUGGAACAUCAUUAGCUGCACUAUCUCCAUAUGAUUUAUUUGCCACGCUCAUCUUCCAGCACAUGUUUUGAUAUUUCAUGCUAGUAGGUAAUUAAUAACAACUAUGAAGCUGUUGUAAUACGUGGCUCAUAUGGAGUGGAACACAUGUAUACAGAAAAAAAAAGGCCAAUGUUUUGAUAUUUCAGAUACUUCAGGGGUACUAUAGACUAUGGCAUCAUGUUUUCUAGGCAAUAAAACGAUCCUUCAGUUGUGAGAUAUGUGGAUGCAGAUAUGAAGGGAUUUGGAUGACAGGAGAUUGAUAACAGGUUAUGCAAACACUCUGGCAGGGGGAUCAGUUUGUUGGAGGUCCAUGAUUCAGUCUCUGGUUGCACUAUCUACGAGUAAGGCAGAAUAUAUGGCAGUGGCUGCAGCUGCCAAGGAAGCUUUGUGGCUUACAGGAAUUGUCAAGGAGCUGGGUGUUUAACAAGGUUGAGUUCAGUUGAAAUGUGAAAGCCUGAGUGCCAUUUAUUUGGCAACCAAGAUAUUGUAGGUUAUCCACUCAAAUCAAGACUAUGGAAAGCAGUUUCAAUGUGCAUGGCACUUCAAAUUUUUCACGACUCCCUGAAACUAAACUAUGGAAACCUAAAUCUAAAUCUAGUGAAGCUCAAAAAUCAUUGUUCUAUGCAGCAUUUUAUCUUAUUAUCCAGUGGGAGUACAAGAAUCUGCAAGCAUCGCACUUCUAACAUCAAAUGGCUUUCCAAA
rnacentral:lncRNA from 1 species